rnacentral:rRNA from 1 species
GACGAACGCUGGCGGCAUGCCUAACACAUGCAAGUCGAACGAGACCUUCAGGUCUCGUGGCUUCCGGGUGCGUUCCUCUUGGGUUCCUGCCCUUCGGUUCGGUAUCCCUUCCCCAACCUGCUUCUUAUACCGGUUUAUCUCCUCGGACCCAAGAUUUAUCGCCUUUGGAUGGGCCCCCGUUGGAUUCGCUUGUUGGUAGGGUAAAAGCCUACCACGGCGACGAUCCAUACCUGGUCUGAGAGGAUGAUCAGCCACACUGGGACUGAGACACGGCCCAGACUCCUACGGGAGGCAGCAGUGGGGAAUAUUGGACAAUGGGCGAAAGCCUGAUGCAGCAAUGCCGCGUGAGUGAUGAAGGAAUUAGGGUUGUAAAGCUCUGUUACACGGGAAGAAAAGGACAGUACCGGGAGAAAAAGCUCCGGCUAACUACGUG